GCUUGUCUCAAAGAUUAAGCCAUGCAUGUCUAAGUAUAAAUGGUAUACAGUGAAACUGCGAAUGGCUCAUUAAAACAGUUAUAGUUUAUUUGGUAUUCGAAUUUACAUGGAUAACCGUGGUAAUUCUAGAGCUAAUACAUGCAUUACGCCUGACUUUUCGGAAGGGCAGUAUUUAUUAGAUAACAAACCAAUAUUCCUCGUGUCUAUUGUGAUGACUCAUAAUAACUGAUCGAAUCGCAUGGGCUUUGCCCGCGAUACAUCAUUCAAGUUUCUGCCCCAUCAGCUUUCGAUGGUAGUGUAUUGGACUACCAUGGCUUUAACGGGUAACGGAGGAUUAGGGUUCGAUUCCGGAGAGGGAGCCUGAGAAACGGCUACCACAUCUAAGGAAGGCAGCAGG
rnacentral:rRNA from 1 species